rnacentral:rRNA from 1 species
GACGAACGCUGGCGGCGUGCUUAACACAUGCAAGUCGAACGGAAAGGCACUGCGUUUGCUCCGUCCGCGAGUGGCGAACGCGGGUGUAACACGUGAGUAAACUGCCCUCGACAUUGGGAGAACUUCAGGAAACUGGGGCUAAUACCGCAUAGGAGCUCCGGCUGCAUGGUCUCGCCUGGAAAGUUUCGGCGUGUGGGGAUGGGAUCGCGGCUUAUCAGCGUGUGGGUGGGGUAGUGGCUUACCAAGGCGUUGACGGGUAGCCGGCCUGAGAGGGUGACCGGCCACAUUGGGACUGAGACACGGCCCAGACUCCUACGGGAGGCAGCAGUGGGGAAUAUUGCACAAUGGGCGGAAGCCUGAUGCAGCAACGCCGCGUGGGGGAUGACGGCCUUCGGGUUGUAAACCGCUUUCAGCUGGGAAGAAGCGUAAGUGACGGUAAUGGCUAAAGAAGCACCGGCUAACUACGUG